rnacentral:rRNA from 1 species
UACGGGGGGGGCAAGCGUUGUUCGGAAUUACUGGGCGUAAAGGGCUCGUAGGUGGCCAACUAAGUCAGACGUGAAAUCCCUCGGCUUAACCGGGGAACUGCGUCUGAUACUGGAUGGCUUGAGUUUGGGAGAGGGACGCGGAAUUCCAGGUGUAGCGGUGAAAUGCGUAGAUAUCUGGAGGAACACCAGAAGCGAAGGCGGCGACCUGGAUAAGAACUGACACUCAACUGCGAAAGCGUGGGGAGCAAACAGG